rnacentral:rRNA from 1 species
AUUGAACGCUGGCGGCAGGCCUAAUACAUGCAAGUCGAGCGGAUGAAGGGAGCUUGCUCCUGGAUUCAGCGGCGGACGGGUGAGUAAUGCCCAGGAAUCUGCCUGGUAGUGGGGGAUAACGUCCGGAAACGGGCGCUAAUACCGCAUACGUCCUGAGGGAGAAACUGGGGGUUCUUCGGACCUCACGCUAUCAGAUGAGCCUAGGUCGGAUUAGCUAGUUGGUGGGGUAAAGGCCUACCAAGGCGACGAUCCGUAACUGGUCUGAGAGGAUGAUCAGUCACACUGGAACUGAGACACGGUCCAGACUCCUACGGGAGGCAGCAGUGGGGAAUAUUGGACAAUGGGCGAAAGCCUGAUCCAGCCAAGCCGCGUGUGUGAAGAAGGUCUUCGGAUUGUAAAGCACUUUGAGUUGGGAGGAAGGGCAGUAAGUUAAUACCUUGCUGUUUUGACGUUACCAACGGAAUAAGCACCGGCUAACUUCGUG